rnacentral:rRNA from 1 species
AACGAACGCUGGCGGCAGGCUUAACACAUGCAAGUCGAGCGCGCGCCUUCGGGCGUGAGCGGCGGACGGGUGAGUAACGCGUGGGAACGUGCCCUUUGGUUCGGAAUAGCCCUGGGAAACUGGGAGUAAUGCCGAAUAAGCUCUACGGAGGAAAGAUUUAUCGCCAAAGGAUCGGCCCGCGUUGGAUUAGGUAGUUGGUGGGGUAAUGGCCUACCAAGCCGACGAUCCAUAGCUGGUUUGAGAGGAUGAUCAGCCACACUGGGACUGAGACACGGCCCAGACUCCUACGGGAGGCAGCAGUGGGGAAUCUUGGACAAUGGGGGCAACCCUGAUCCAGCCAUGCCGCGUGAUCGAUGAAGGCCUUAGGGUUGUAAAGAUCUUUCAGCUGGGAAGAUAAUGACGGUACCAGCAGAAGAAGCCCCGGCUAACUCCGUG